AAAAUACUCCCUCCGUUCCUAAAUACAAGUCUUUCUAGAGAUUCCAAUAGGGACUACAUACAGAACAAAAUGAGUGUAGCUCCGUAUGUAGUCCCUAUUGGAAUCUCUAGAAAGACUUAUAUUUAGGAACGGAGGGAGUAUUUU
rfam:Triticum aestivum genome assembly, contig: Triticum_aestivum_CS42_TGACv1_scaffold_579426_7BL